CCCCGGAGGCAGGAAGAGAAGGAAGAAGCUGCUUCCCCUUUGGCCCACCCCCCAACCCCUGCCCCCACCUCGGGCCCCAGGGGCCCAGCAAACAGGAUGGAGGUGGGGGCAGGGAGGAUAGGGUCAGAGCGCAGGCACUGGCCCGGGCUCAGCCGGGCCAACUGGGGGAGGGGGCUUUGUCCCAAGACGGACCCCCCUAAGCCUGGGGGGGAAAGCCCUUGGGCAAGGAGGCAGUUAAACCCGCAGAGAAAGCUGCCGUGAAUACUUCCUCCUAGAAAGUUUGUUUGGGGUGAUUUUUUCGACAAUAAGAGGUUAGAGAAGAAGAGUAGUCCUGUUCCCCUGUCGACGUUCUGGAAGCAGCAGCUACUGGAAACUGGGCCAGGGAAUUCUCCAACCAGGCACGACCCCUCCGCUCAGACCCCAGUCCGAGCCACGGGUGCCAGACACCAGCUGGGCGCGCAGCCGGGCCCUGCGCCAGUCCCGCUGUCAUCCCAUCCCACCUCCGAUGGCGGAGCCCUAGCCCGGCACCCACCGGGGCGGAGGGAGGCGCCGCAGAGUGAGCCCUGGGACGCAGAGGAGCAGGGCAAAGUCUCCCUCACAAGAGUCACGGCGAAGAGUCGGGGAUGCGGCGUCGGGCGAGCUCCACCGGCCGCAGGUCAGGCGCGACCCCAGAGGCACCUGCCCUCAUCCCUCCCCGCCCUUCUCUGAUCUCCAGCUCACGCAGCCCCCGGCACACAAGGCCACCACCUCGCGCCCCCGGAGUCGCCGCGCCCAAGGACCCCAGCGCGCCCCCUGCCGCCGGUGCAGGGUGGCGCUCCCUGGCUCGCUCCCUCACCUGCCCGGAGACGGCGGGGAUCGGCCUCUCGGCCGCUCGCCGCCCUUCCCUCGCCCCAGCGAUCCCCGCCCCGAUCGUCCGCACCUGCUUGUGGAGCCUGGCCGGGCUGGGUGUAGGGGUCGGGCCAGCGCGGGCAGCGAACUGAGCUCGGCGCGCUCGGGCGGCGGCUGCUCCGAACUCUGGCCAAGGCAGCAACUCAGUAACCGAACAAAAGGCGAAAGGACCUGACAGCCAAGCCACGCCUCUCGCCCCCUCGAAGCUCCGCCCCCGAGGGAAACGCCCACCCGCCGAUGAGGGUUCACUGGCUGCCUCUCCUGACUGUCCCAUCGAGGGGCGGAGCCUCGCGCUCAGUCCUCUUCCACCGCCGCCUCUGUUUAUCCGCUGGCCAUUGGCCCCAGGGACUGCUAGUCGGCUCUGGGGACGGCCUCCAACUUGAGGUUCCAUCCUCACUCCGCACCUAUUGGCAGAUAGAAGGUUACUUCCUCCUGAUUGGGCAAGGGAUUGUCAGUAAGACUAAGGAAAGAACCAAUGGGAAGGAUGGGGUGUGUCUUGCCCCACCCUAGCUCUGAGCAGGUGAGACUCAUUACUCUCCCCUUCCCCCUACCUGUCCAACAGGUGAGUCAGGAGGCGCCAUGGGAAAGGACAGACGCCUUUACAGGCCAGCCAACUCAGCGUCAGGCAUGAUGCUUCUUUGCGCUUAUUCACCCUUGCCACAGAGGGAUAACAACAUAUUUGUAUAUCAUUUCAUAGGCUUUUUUUUCUAGGUUGGGAUUUUUUUCCCCAAAGACAAGAGUGCUCAUGAGAUUUCGAAUUAGAAGGCCUGGGUUUGGGUUCUGCCACUUAGUAGCUGUAUGAUCUCAGCCAGUUACUUCAUCUUUCAUCCUGUUUUUCUUCAUCUGUAAAAUGGGUACAUUAGCUGUAUGUCUCAUGGGGGGUGCGGGAAUAAAAUUAAGGUUUGUGAAAUCA